rnacentral:rRNA from 1 species
CUCGACUGCAUGAAGCUGGAAUCGCUAGUAAUCGCGAAUCAGAAUGUCGCGGUGAAUACGUUCCCGGGUCUUGUACACACCGCCCGUCACACCAUGGGAGUUGGAAGCGCCCGAAGUCUGUGACCUAACCGUAAGGGAGGAGCAGCCGAAGGUGAAGCCAGUGACUGGGGUGAAGUCGUAACAAGGUAGC